rnacentral:SRP_RNA from 1 species
ACCGGGAGUGGUGGUGUAAUCCUGUAAUUCAACUACUCGGAAGCUAGGUAGAGAGGAUGUUUAAGGGGCGGGGAUUCUGGGAUUGAAUUUUCCACGUUGACUAGGCGACCGCUAGGGGGUAAAUCUUCAACUUGGAUGCUUUGAGGGAGCCCGAGGUUUAGUAGGAUUAGUAAGUAGGGAAAAAAUCGAUCCGAAAGUCACCGAGUUGAGAGUCGUGGAUUUAAAUCCUGGGAGUGGGAGUUCAAUUUCAGGUUUUCCUGUACCUACAUAAGAGGGAUAAGUGACCUA